AAAAUAAGAGAGAGAGAGAGAGAGAGAAAAAAAAAUAUCGUGAAUGGAGUCACUUUUGUUGCUGUUUGUUUCUCUCUUUUUCAAA
rnacentral:ribozyme from 1 species